UGUGUAUUAGCCCUUAUUCUUUUUACAGAUGAAAAAGAAAGACAUGCCUUUUUUUAUUUUUCGAGUUACGCAUGAAUUUGACAAUAAGUUUUAGAUGGAAUGCUUCUUUCUCUCGUGACUUUAUCAAUUUUUGUCCAACAAAGAGUGUUAGGUGGACUGGCAUGGAAGAAAGGCUUGUGGGAGACUCUAGCAAAAGAGGCAUCUACUUGCUUAAAAUGCAAGAGGGCUACCUAUAUGUCAAAACAUGAAACCUUCCAAUGUGUUCCUUUUACCACCAAGUUACGUGCCAAAUGAUGGCGAAAGAAUUGAAACAUGUCUUGAAGAAGAAGCCAAUGGGAAAGGUAAAAUGGGUACUAAGCUAUUUUGUGGUGAUCAAAGUGUGAGAUGCACAGCUGAUUGGUGGAGUGGCUUCUUCUUGUGCAAGGAAGAAAAGGACAGUGCACCAGCAACAAAUGUUAAUUCAUGAAUGGCCAAUUAUGGAAUUUAAAACGUCCCAAAAUUAUAAACAGUGACCUUGCAAAAUCUUCACCCUUGUCUAAGAAAAGCCUAGAUGUUUCCUCUUUAUCUCCCUCCACUUUACUUCAUCUGCAUGAGCUAGUUAGCCACUUCUUCACCAAAUGGGGUGGCUGCAAUCCCUCCUCUCUCCACUCAAGAAGUUCUGGCUCCGCUUGAAUUCAACUCAAAAGAAGAGAAGAGGGAUUUACAUUCUGUAUGAAGAUGUUAAAUCUUGCCCCUAUGAAGACGUGCACGUCCUCUGGUCAAUACUAGUGGAAUCACAUUCACCUUCUUUGCCAUCCAAGAAAUGAAGGCCAUGGGCACAAUACAGAAAUGAGAAGAGGCUCAUCAUAAUGUAAAUAAAAUAUAUUUAUAAUGUCCAUACAAUAGAGUGUUUUCAUCUUCUUUUACUUUUUUCUCUUAACUUUUGUAGCACCGUUAGCGUAGAGUGACUCUCAGCUUUUGAUUUAGAAGCAUUAUUAGUUGUGUGUUUGAAUCGACGGUGAGACUCAAAAUCAUGAUUACACCAUGAAAAAUUGGAAGCAGCUCUGUGUUGCUUUGUCUUCAAAGUGAAAAAUAUGAAUUGAUUUUAGCAAGAGUGAAGCCAAACUAAAUAUACUAUAAGUUCUUAUAUGAAAAUCCAUUUAUCUUUA